AAAAACUUAAUUUCUGGGUUUUCAUGUCUAACGUUUGACCGUUCGUCUUAUUUGAAAAAAUUAUGAAAAAAAUUUAAAAAGAUAAGUCAUGCAUAAAGUAUUGUUUAUGUUUUAUCAUCUAACAAUAAUGAAAAUACUAAUCUAAAAAAAUUCCAUAUAAGACGGACGGUUAAACGUUGGACACGAAAAUCUAAGAAUUGAGUUCUU
rfam:Oryza rufipogon genomic scaffold, chr11